GAUGAACGCUGGCGGCGUGCUUAACACAUGCAAGUCGAACGGUGAACACGGAGCUUGCUCUGUGGGAUCAGUGGCGAACGGGUGAGUAACACGUGAGCAACCUGCCCCUGACUCUGGGAUAAGCGCUGGAAACGGCGGCUAAUACUGGAUAUGUGACGUGGCCGCAUGGUCUGCGUUUGGAAAGAUUGUUCGGUUGGGGAUGGGCUGGCGGCCUAUCAGCUUGUUGGUGGGGUAAUGGCUCACCAAGGCGUGGACGGGUAGCCGGCCUGAGAGGGUGACCGGCCACACUGGGACUGAGACACGGCCCAGACUCCUACGGGAGGCAGCAGUGGGGAAUAUUGCACAAUGGGCGCAAGCCUGAUGCAGCAACGCCGCGUGCGGGAUGACGGCCUUCGGGUUGUAAACCCCUUUUAGCAGGGAAGAAGCGAAAGUGACGGUACCUGCAGAAAAAGCGCCGGCUAACUACGUG
rnacentral:rRNA from 1 species